CUUCCUUCAGCUCUCUGGUUGGGUGACUUUUCUGCUGGGAAGGCUUCCCUGACCCUCUUCUUGCCUCCCAAGUUUAGGAAAUUUGUAACCUCCCACAUAUUCAUGCACAUCACCUACCAUCACAUUUAUCUCAUUUCACUAUAAUUGCAUGUUUGCUUAUUUUUAUACAGUUGCAGUGUCAACUCUGGAAAGGCAUAAUCUGUAACUACUUUGUUGAUCAUUGCAACUGCAUGUAGAAGCCACUCCUUAUAUAAGUAUUGAGUAAUUACAUUGCUCAGAAUUCUCCCUCCAACUCCUCUCACCCUUGCCAGCCCUGUUCUCAAAUAAAAUGCAGCAACAUCCUUUGUAAAAGCAAUUCUCAAAACUAAACUGGCCUUGUAUACAGUUAAGAGUCCUCUGUUAUUUAUUUUUUUUCCUUUUUAUACUACCUGGAUGUGUCUUAGCCUCUCCACCCUUUCCCCGCAUUGAGCAAGUUGACUGCUAUAAACAAGAUGUUUCUGUUUUAUAUUCCGGAAUGCACAACAACUGAAGCAAAGGCAAGGUGACUUUGCUGUAACUCAGCAGUCUUUUUAAAAUGUUAUUUUCCCCCCUUCGUAGGUCCUCAGAACACUGCCAUUAAGGGCUUCGAGGUGAAGAUACAUUAGAUUAAAAAUAUGGCAGACAGGGACCCUGAAGCACUUUAAGAAAGCUUGGUCUGCAGGAAAUCCUCAUCUUGGCUCCAAUCAUCAGAAAACUUGAUCUUUACCAGAGCGUCCUCCUCUAUUGCCCGG
rnacentral:lncRNA from 1 species